AAGAAGUAAAACGUAAUUAAAAAUAGACAAAAUCAGAAGGGAUUAGGGUUCUGAAAGUGUGACCUUUGGAGUCGAACGCGCAGCUCCUUCUUCGUCCUCACAAAUUCACGCCGAUGGCGGUGGCUUAACGGUGAAAUCUCCGAUCGGAGCUCCUUUCCACUUCCACGCAUCACAAUGAAAUCAUACGUGUACUCUCUUCUGCUUCUCGUCUUUGCGUAACUCGCGUUCGUCUCAAAUCGGUCUCUCUCUCGUUUUGGUUUCGUUAAAGCUCGUCUCUGAUCCACCCGCCGGAUAAAGCCUGAUCUCUCUUCCACGUCGUUAAUGAGAAGAGCACCCCAACGUUAUAUCCAGAAGCUUGUGAACUUGGUGACGAUAAUGGUGCGGUCGAGGGUGUAUGGCUGUUGUUGAGUGAAGAACCGAUGGAGGAGCUUGGAUGAAUCGAUUGAAGGUUGAAGAAUUGAGCUGGAGUGUGAAGAUGAUGAAGGAUGAGGUGGAAGAGAGUAUGAUGAGUUAUGGAUUGGAGAUUCGUGGAUGAAGAUGAUGAUGAAUGAAUGGGCGUGGUUGAGGUGAUUGAAGAUGGUUGAAGGUUGAGAUACAGAUUCGAAGAAUGAAUGGAGGUGGUGGAAGGUUCCUUGAAUGGUGACUGCGGAAGCAUUUAUAUAUUGCCAGUGAUUAGGGAAUGAUGGUGAAUUCUUGGGUGUGGGACUUGGAGCGCAGCUUGCAACAUGGCUUUCUCCAAUUCUCGAAUGUGGGACUAUUGGCUGAAUCACAUAGAGUGCGUGGAUGUGAAACUGCGAACGGAAACUUAAUGCGUUGAUAUUGAACCAUGGCUUGUUGCUGAAUCUGAUGUUGUUCAAAUCUCGUUUUACAGGUCUGAAGCUUGAAUGGAUGUGGUUGAAAGUUGUUGUGAUGCUGAUUAGUGAUGUGAAAUGAUUUUGUGAAUAUGUGCAGGGCUGGAUUUCUCGGUUUAAUGGUUGAAUUUGAGUUAGGUUUUGUAGCUGGAAUCAAAUGGCCUAGAUGGAACAAAGAUGAAGGAAACUCAAAUUUAUCAAGGAAGACUUGAGGCUGCCAUAGAUGAGCUGGUGUAUACUGGUAUUUAUUCAUGGCUAUAAGGGCUGUGUGUGGCUGUAUGCUAACUGAUGUGGAUUGCGGCUUGAUAAUCGACUUGAACUGGGCUGUUUUAAUGUUCAGAUUCGCUAUGUUACGGACCGGUGUUGUUCUCCUUUUUUGAAUGGCUGAAGAGUUAUUGUGAAUAUCUCAUGGGUUCUUAACACCCGAUGAAGGCCAAACAAAGCUCUCGGAAGUCGAAAGUUUAAAACUUAUUCAAUGGAGCUUAGGAGCUUAGAGAUUUUAGGCUUAGAAAUAAGUUUAUGAUGUUUCUUUUUUUCCUUUUUCUGGUUUCAAAAGUGUAAAACAAUAAGGUGUUGGUAUGGUUUGUAAGGUGAAUAAAGGUUGUAAUUUCUGAAUGAACAUGAAUGAGGUUUGAUGAAAAUUUGCUGAAACUUAUAGAGUUGAAUUUGAACUGAUCCACACGGACCCUGUGUGAACGCCAUGCUUUGAAAAAUGAUAUCGAAUAAACUCUCCUUGUAUCAAUCUUCAAAUCCACCUUACUGAA